UACGUAGGUGGCAAGCGUUAUCCGGAUUUAUUGGGCGUAAAGAGAACGCAGGCGGUCUUUUAAGCCUGAUGUGAAAGCCUUCGGCUUAACCGGAGUAGUGCAUUGGAAACUGGGAGACUUGAGUGCAGAAGAGGAGAGUGGAACUCCAUGUGUAGCGGUGAAAUGCGUAGAUAUAUGGAAGAACACCGGUGGCGAAAGCGGCUCUCUGGCCUGUAACUGACACUGAGGCUCGAAAGCGUGGGGAGCAAACAGG
rnacentral:rRNA from 1 species